UGUAUUUUUGUAACUCUGGCACAGCGAUUUCCUUCGGGAUGAAUAAAGUCUUAUCUUAUCUUAAAGACGAGCAGAAGUUUCUUAUACUUUAGUGAUUAUACAGCGUAUUAAAUGUCUUUCCUCCCGCUAGGUGGCUUCGGAUCAUACGGGUACGGGAACAAUGCCAACUCCGGAUACAGUGACUUUGUCUCAGACUGCUAUGGCUACCACGAGUUUGCGACAUAAAUCGUCCCCGGUCUUAGAAAAAACCAAAAAACAUUCCUGUAGAGAGCGUAAAAAAAAAGCAGCAUCAUGAACUCCCUUCACCACCAAGUCCUCCUCCUGGGAUUAAAACUCCUCCGCCCAAUCAUGUCCUUUUUCAUGGCUUUCUGUUUCCCCUCAUGUGAAACUAUCUCGCAGUUUGUAAAACUACAAAGGUUGUUGUAUUUUUUUGUAACUAUUCAAUAGCAUUGCUUGUAAUUUCGUCUUAUUUUGUAAUUUACCUAACGUGAUGUAGUUAUUUUAUUAAAUGGUUUUGAGGUUCAGGUUCAGUCCACGUUUCUGCUCAAUGUGGCUUUUUCAUUGGGUGAGAUUUGGUCCUGUUAAUGUAUAACAAAGUGUGUUUGUAUUAAUAAAUGAUUUUUAUUUUGAAAA